CGCAAGCACACAAGUUACUGAAAGAAGUGUUUAAAUCUAAGCUAAGAAAUUUAAAAUUACAUGUUCUCUGUUCGAGAGUUUUUUAUUCGGGGUCUUUUUGCUCUAUGUCCUUCCUUCCUUUUAUACUCCCUGGAUGAUCUCUUUGUGAUCAACCGCCUAAAAACUGCUUGAUCGUUCUAUAACUGCCCACUUUCCUCGUAAUGACCAACUUGUCAUGGAACUGCCUUUUCUAACUGCUGCCAUUACUCUUUGUCGUUCAACCGUCUUCAAUUGAGUUCCUUGAAUCGUGGAACGUGAUAGGGAUGCUUUAAUAACUGCUUUGAUAAUUGCGCUUCUGGAUAAUCACAAUACUACAUGUUUGCUAAGACCUCGAGCGACUCGAAGGUUUGGACGAGAAUAGAGUAACAGCUCUGGACGACUGCAUGGCACUUUAUUCGCUCAGAUCCUGGGCGACUUGCAAGCUUGGGCGAUGGUGUUACCGCGUUCAUGGACCUCCCUAUUUGGCCUUCAUCUUGAAUUGUCUGAUUGAGCUUCGUUCUUUGGGCUAUCUGAUUUGGGGAUCCUCCAAUUGGACUUCAUUCCUUGGACCGUUCGAUUUAGGCUGAAUUUUUAUGUGUCAACAGAAACAAACUGAAAUCAACGCCAUCAAGAAAGAUACAUGCAUAAAAUUUCAAUGAUUUCACAUUGAAUUUCAAAUUCCUGUUAAUUGCAUCACUUAUAGGGCCUAAAUUAGGCACCAGAACCCAAAAAAAAAAAAAAAAAAAAAAAAAAAAAAAAAGCCUAAAAGGUCAAUAUCAACAUUGAUAUUAUCAUAUCACUAGAGGUAAAAAAAAACAUAUCUUGAUUCUAAAGUGUUGAUGUAUAUGUGUACGUGUGCAUAUAUCUGCGCUAUGAAUAUGUAAAUAUGUAAACCAACUUAGUCCUCAAGUACCAUGACAAAUGAGAAUAAUGAAACACAAGAAUUCUUGUGUGAAUUGAUGAUUCUUUACUUAUUGCUCUGUAUUUAUAUACAUCCGUAUGAAGGAAAAUGAUCUUCUAAAUUAGGAGUGAACAAAUCAGCCUACCUAUGGAAAUAUUUAAAUAUGGUACAUCAAUUAUUAUAGAAUCAAUCACUAAUCUCCUACAAUUAUUCCGAUUUCUAAAUUUGACUUAUUUCACAUUUUGCAAUAAUCUAUUAGGACAUUAAAAAGUCUAGAAAAUUUACCUUCAGAAUAACUUCAUUACCUGUUUUAUGAAACUUCAUGCAUUACAUUGUAAAAUGUAAACAAAACAAAGAUGAAAAAAAAAAAAAAAAUAUUGGAAUUCAACUUUAAUUAUUGGAUGCCUUGAUGAUUUAAAAUACACAUACGGUUUAGCAAUUUCAAUAAUAUCAGAUUGUGGAUCAAGGCCCUUGCCAAUGCCAUUGAAAAAUUAGUCAUGCAAAAUAAGUUGACCAGAGCCAGCUCUUCUACUUUGACAGAUUUUUUUCCCAAAAGCUUAAUCCAGGCAAACUUGAGCAAUAUUAGAUCCUGAAGGAUCCUGAACAAAUAACGAAGCAAGUGGUUUACAAUGUACAGACUAAAGAAAUAAUCCAAAACAGCUACAUUUCUACUCAAAAUGAUAAGAUUAACAGAACAAUUUACUUUGAGCUUUCUAAACAAAGAGUUUUCUAAAAUAAGUGUGAUAUCUCUAUAUGGUAAAAGUUUUCAACAACAAGAACUACGAAUUUUUUUUGGCUUAAUGGAGGACAUCACACCGUUCUACAUAAGAACCAAAUGAUCAAUUUCAGAGACCCGAGGCUCAGAGUACUUGAAAAGUGUAGAAAAAUACAAGAAUCCAAAACCCAGAAUGCUGAGAAGUUUUUCAGAUGUAUAUAAUUAUACAUACACAUACAUAUAUAUAGAUGUACACAGACACAUGCACACGUCAAAUAUCCUUUGAUAUACUCAUUUUUGGGUAAAUUAUUAGUACUUACACAAAAAAUUUGUAGAUAUAUAUUUCAAACAUGUUUUUCAAAAUAACAACAAAAUGAUAAUUCUAGCAUUUAUACUACACUAAACUUUUCAAUUAUCAUAGAGAAUUCGGACAAUCUUUAUUAUGGAAGAACGUAAUUUAUCAUUUAUUUCUUAUUUUUUAAAUAAGUCCACUUCAUGUGUGUGACAAUAUGAAAGAAAUUGAACUGUAUUCACCAUGUGUUCUCAAGAAAAUAUAUAGAACCAGAAACAGAGUACAAGGAAAUCAUAUUUAGAGUGGGGUUGUAAAUGACCAAAAGAAAAAUUUUGCAAAAAUGAGGAUGUCGAGAUGAGUAUGUGCUUGAAUAAAUAAGAAAUGAGAUUACAAGCCAACAGGUAAGAGUAAAAAAUAACAAAAGGACAGCUUAGUUGGGGCAUGUCUUACAUAGACCUAAAUAGGACCUCAUUUAUAACAUAGAACAAAACUUGUCGUCUCUUGGAGUUAUUAAGAAUUUAGUUGCAUAACAAUCAACUGAAUGGAGUGCUAAAAGGAUCGAUGUAGCUGAGUCCACAUUUAUAUUGAAGGGUAUUAAUUUCUAUCUUAAGAGUAUUCUAGGACAAAAAUGGGACAAAUGGUGAUUUACAAGGUAGGAGGCCUAGUUUAGUUCUCUUAAUGAAGAAAAGCACAAAGAAUAUGCUUAAUAACAUUGAAAAUAAGCAAAAACGUUUAACCUGUACAACUUCUUAUCCCUUGAAGACUCGUCCAAACACACUAAUUUUCUCAUUAAAUCUGCAAUUGGAACUGUUAUAAUGAAAAGAUUUUCACUGUCAUCUUGUUUUGCUAGAAGUACCAAGCAUAAAAGCUUCAUGCUUCAAGCUGAGUGGGAAUUAUUGAUUUAGUACAUUUCAGUAGCGAUAGCACAUUAAAGACUAAACGACUUAUAAAAGAACUUAUGGAGAUUUGAGGGAAAUCAUACAUUGUAUCAAGUUAAUUAUUAUGUUUUCCCUUUCAGGUCAAAUCUUCAGUGGUUCCAGGUCUGUCAACAUCUCUAGCUUGGAUGACGAAUUUCUUAUUACAUGGUUAGUAAGCAUAACAGACAACUUCAACCAAUCAAUUUACAGAUUCUGCUUAUUUAAAUAUGUCAACAAGAUUACAUUCAUUAAGUGUGCUCAGCUUAAUAAUUAAGACAUCCAAGUAUUAACUUCCAUAUAUUUUUUGAAUUAAAAGGAACUCACCGAUUUGUUAUCAACCAAUGUUGUUGAAAUGAAGCUUCAAGAGCACCAGCAUCAUAAAUUUCACUUGAAGUAAUUCCAGAAAGCACGUCAACUUUAGUUGACAUAAUUUAGAGAAGCAAUCAAUAAAAACCUCGUGGAUCAAUAUGGAUUAACAAUAUUAUAGGAGAAAAAUGAAUAGAUGACUCAAUUCAAUCGAAGAUGUAGCAAUAACAAGAAGAAGCACACCAAUGUUGUUGACUAUUACAUAGAGUUGUAAUAACAUCCUUCCAUCCGUUUUCAAAAAGCAUCCCCCAUAAAAUCUGCAGGUGAUUUUGUACACUGUGAUGAUUUAAUUUUUGUUGGAGGAAAGAUGGGUUUACUAACUUGGAUUAGCUAAGGCUUUUAAGAGGACAACACUAAUAGGAAGAAGGAAGUGAAAAAAGGAAACUUGUAUUUCUUAAAUUCAAGACUUUACACACUUUUUGGCUUGUUACAAAAUGGAGGGCACUACCCCUUUAUAUAGUGUUUACAAGAAGAUUCUAGUCCACACAUUUUCUAGAGAUACCUAGACCACAUAUCAAGAUAUUUUUUUAGAAUUCUCUAGAUAUUCUUUAUAAAACUACAUAUCUUACUUAGAUAUUUAUAUAGAUUUUUCUAGUAGAUAUUUAUAUAGAUUUUUCUAGAUAAUGCUUUUAGAAAUGCUAUGCAUGUUGGGCCUUUUAAUUGAUUUGGGCCUAUAAGCAAAAUCCUUAAGCCCAUAUUAUUUAGUCCAAAAAUCAAGUUUACUACUCAAC
rnacentral:lncRNA from 1 species